rfam:Schistosoma margrebowiei strain Zambia genome assembly, scaffold: SMRZ_contig0001888
AUCUGGCUGAUGAAUCCAAAAUAGGAUGAAAUGUGCGUCUUAGAU